AUGAACGCUGGCGGCGUGCCUAAUACAUGCAGGUCGAGCGAACAGACGAGGAGCUUGCUCCUCUGACGUUAGCGGCGGACGGGUGAGUAACACGUGGAUAACCUACCUAUAAGACUGGGAUAACUUCGGGAAACCGGAGCUAAUACCGGAUAAUAUAUUGAACCGCAUGGUUCCAUAGUGAAAGACGGUUUUGCUGUCACUUAUAGAUGGAUCCGCGCCGCAUUAGCUAGUUGGUAAGGUAACGGCUUACCAAGGCAACGAUGCGUAGCCGACCUGAGAGGGUGAUCGGCCACACUGGAACUGAGACACGGUCCAGACUCCUACGGGAGGCAGCAGUAGGGAAUCUUCCGCAAUGGGCGAAAGCCUGACGGAGCAACGCCGCGUGAGUGAUGAAGGUCUUCGGAUCGUAAAACUCUGUUAUUAGGGAAGAACAAAUGUGUAAGUAACUAUGCACGUCUUGACGGUACCUAAUCAGAAAGCCACGGCUAACUACGUG
rnacentral:rRNA from 1 species